rnacentral:lncRNA from 1 species
CUUCUUUCAGUUCUAAAAGUUGAUAUUUUAGGCAUUGAGACUGUUUGGAGAAACUAUCAAGGCCAGAUGGCUGAUGGUUGGAGGAAUUUUGUUAGAUACUGUUGCCUCUGCUGGAGCUGCAGCUGCAGAAACCCUGCCCGUGAAAGAAGCGUUGAAAUUCCAGUGUAGAAUCAAUUAUUGUCAAGCUAUUAUGCAAAACUGAUUCUCUCAACCUCUUCAACUGUAUUAGUAAAGAAUUCUGCUAUUCCAUGAGACAACAAGAGACUUAGAAAGAAAUUUGUGAAAGACAACAACCAUAUUAGGGCUGUCUUGGACCAACACAGGCCUGCAAAUUAGGUAGCAAAUGUUACUAGACUCUUCUUGUAUUUGUCCAGCUAACUGAAUGUUCUGCUCGCCAAGUUUUUUACUAUUUAGAAAAUUAAUCUUAUUGUUAAAAACAUAUUAUUUGGAUUUAUUUUUAUUUUUUUUCGAAAUGUAAAUUUGUAUCAACAUAAUCAUACAAGACAUGUUGGAUAAAGCUGAAACUCUGGAGUUUACAGAAAUGCUAAAACAAAUAAAGGACUGCGUCGUUGUUAGUCAAUCGUAACUGCUGUUCUGUCAAAAGAACAGGUAAUCAAACCCACCUAUCUCUGUCUCAAUGUUUUUGUGCCGGUGACCAACUGUUGUUGGCAUGCAAGUACGCGCACAAAGGUGGGUCCUUUUUCUUGCUUAUGUAUAAAGGAAAGUCUGCAUAGUCAAUAGAGUAUUACUGCUGUUCUUGAGAUAUGUGAAAGACAAUGUUCUUAUAAUGAUUAAUUCACAAUUCUCUAACCAUCAUUCCAUUUGUUUAAAAGGGUUUUUGUUUUUGUUUUUGAUUUUUGUGCUUGAUCCAAAGCCAAAGGUGGUUUCUUUCGGGUUUGGAAAUUUAUCAAAUUGGUAUCUAGGUGUUUGUUGUAUUGCUUGUGAGCGAUGCAUUUCAUUUCUUCUUUAAAUAUUUUAUGACUAUACUGAGAAUUAGGUUAGGUUCCUGAGAUUGGAAUUUUGGUUUCUGAUUACUUCCGGGUCUCCUUCUGUUACCAAGAAAAACCCCCGAAAGCUUCAUCUACACAUACAAAAAUAGGACCUCCGUAUUGAAACUGUUUUGCUAAUGUAGUUUUUAGUUCCUUAUUACCAGUGGGAGUUAAUCCUGAAAGUAAUAAUGGAAAUCUUCAGGUAAAGAAAAAAAAGUAGUUUUGAAGAAAGAACACCACAUGGAAUAGCAGAAAACCCUUUCUAAGUUGAUAGAACAUGAUGUAUAUAAUUGUAAUUUAAACAUGUGAAGUAGAUCCAUGUGCCAAUCAUAUAAUGACAUGCUGCGAAGUCCUAUAGGAUUUUGAAUUUGUUAGAGCUAACAUGAUAUUGGAUAUAGGAAUCAAGAGGUCCUCGAAGAAAAUGACAAACUUUUUUAUAUUUUUGUAGUUUCAACUGAUACAAAGAACAUUAGUUGAGAUUAUCUUUUCAGCUACCAAAAGUCCCCAAUCCUAGUCUACCUCUAUCCCUCAUUGGAAACUGGUUAGUAGUUAGACUGAUAUAAUUAUGUAAUUGCUUUCAGUCCUGAAUCAUCGGCUUUUCACCAACACUUUCAGUUUUGUAAUCUAGGUGGUAGGUUUUCAGUUAUGUAAUCUAGACGGUAGAUAGUGUAUUUUGCUGCUAUGGAGUAAAUCCCAUGGCUAAUAUAAUGCAAAAUUUAAACCUGUAUCUUCUGUUUUAGUCUCCACCCUGCUUAUUUUCUUUGUGGUGGUCUCUACUCUAAGAUAAUCUUCUUGAAAAGCUAUGAUAAAGGAAAACUGCAAUAGUGAAAGUAAUAUCAUGUCUUCUCCAUGUAUUCAUAAAACAUUAUAAUGAAAAUUAAGAGUCCCUUUGCUGCUUCUUAAAUUUAUUAAAAUGGGCAUAUAUGAUUCUGAGCUUGCAAUUUACAAUCAUAUUGAGGAUGUCAAAAUUUACUUAGUAAUUUGGCAUGGAAAAAAACUGUGCUUGCUUAGAGUAGGUCCCAUUGUAUAUUUUAUCAGAGAAAUCCUAGUAACAUCACUCUGGUUGAGGAUCAGUCUCUAUUUCGUAUGCGAGUUCUCUGCUCAAAAUAUCAGCUCGAUCAUCCUGUCCACCUGCAAAGCUAUAGACCUGAAAUGCUAGCUGAAAAGUCCUCCAAAGCACCUUUAAGGUUGCCUUUGAUUGGCCUGUAGCUUUCUGCAUGCUUUUUGCACACUCUGUUUCCUUUGUGUCCUUCCUUUCCUAAAUCAGAAAUCAAUAUGCCAAAAGGUUCAAACAUAUCAGCAUGUUUUUUUGUAAGUACUUAUGAAUUGGAUAUUCUGUAGAGGUUCUAGUUCUUGUUUUUCUUUUUUUUCUUCCCUAUUUCCUAAGAAGGUAAAGAAUGAAGUAAGAAAAGCUAAAAAGACAAUUACUACCUUGAGUGCAACCUCCAUGCAGCUUGAGGAAACAUCUACCAUUAAUUCCUUGAUUCGCACCAAAAUAUUGAAGUUGAAAUGAAUGUUAUUGCUCUGAAACUGCUUUGACUCUUCAUCUUUAAUUGUUUCCAGUGCAUCUAUUUCUCCUUUGAUCUGCUUGCAAAUAUUAUGCAGAACUAUGACAAAAAGGGUUGUCAGGAAAUCUCCAAAGUGUUUUUUCAUGAGUAUAGGGGAGUUUACCUUGUGAAAAUAGGAUUCAACCUUGCCAAGGUGCUGGUCCAAAGGAG